GCCUAGCCUCCCAGAAGGGGGCGGGGCGUUUAUCCACAGCCCAUGCGCGGGGGUGCGGCCCGCGAGCGGCCUGAAGGCGGGGUACAGGCAUAAUGAAGAUUGCCCAGUGCUGCUUCACGUCCUUCCAGAGUGCAGAGAGCAGCUAAACUUAAACCUCUAAAAAACAGGAAGUACAAAAUUAAGGGAAGAAGAGGAGAUGGAGUCAUCCUCCAUCACAUCAUUACCAAAAGCAGCAGCAGAUCACUCCCAUGCUAGGCCAUGAAAACUGUCUUCCCCUCCCCAUCUGUCACUGGUGGUGAGAGUAAACUGGAAUUAACAUCACAAUGCAACAUACUUUGACAACAUCUCCAGGGCACCAUCAGAAGAGAAAUGUUCACAGAAACUUUUCCUGUAUAGUAGAUGAAUAAGAGGAUGAAGGAAUGCUACAAACAGCAGCAAUAUAGUUGACAGCAAGAAGCUGGCUCCCAAAUGUUGUGACCCAGGAUUUUGUAAGUCUCUUGAAGUUCUGCUGCACACAUCUAUCUUGUAGCUGCUUCUGAUUAGAUAAACAAGGAUGCGAAGCAUUGAAGAGUGCAGUUGUGAGGUUUUCCCUCAUUUGGAAGGAUGUAUGAAGGCAAUGGAACAUUGAAAACACUUGCAGCAAGACCAAAAUCUCACUCUAAGUUGAUAGGGUUUGUGAUCAUGUGACAAAGGGAUAGCAUUUCCAUCCUUAUCACACAGGACUCCCCGUGAAUCACCAACAUUGGCCACUGUAAGUUCUUUAUCGGACAGCAAUGCAAUCAAACAGGUUGUACCUGAAAAAGAAGGGGGAGAAAGAGGCAGGACAAUGAAAUAAACAUCACCACUAGUUACACUGCAGUUUCCUCCGUUGUUAUCUGUACUCAGCAGCCACAGGGAACAGCAGCAACGCAUGUAUCUGACUGAAACAUCUAGUACUUUGAUGACAAUCUAUUGAAUGGCAUUGAUCAAAUGUGACAGUCCAUUUUGUCUAACAAUAUUUUUAGUCUAUCAGAUUUUAACUCUGAUGUGCUGGGGGAAUGACCCUGUAAUCCCAGCCUAGCAUCUCUCAUCUGUUUUGUCAUUUAGACAGUAUUAAAAUGACUCUAUAUCAUAAACCUGCUUGGAAACAGAAACUUCUUCCAGGAUACAGCUUGUAUCUCUCUCUCAUGGGAUGAUGGGUAAAAUCGCUGUUAAAAAAAUAAGGGGUCUGUUGCUCAGAUUUGAUAAAAUUCACAGAGAGAAGUUGGGAUAGGGGGAAAUCAGUUCCCAGUCUAGGCCUGAUAGCUCUCUUCUCUUGCUGGUCAAGGAAAGUAAUAGAGAAAAGUUCUCUCGGCACAACAGCCUAGUAACAGCCUUACUGAAUGGCAGCUACUACUAUAAAAAAAACGCAUUAAUAAAAUAAAUCUGGUCUAAGUAUAACCUUCUGUGUGCCUUUACAGAAAGAACAGCUGUCAAAAUUGGGAGCUUAUGUACAUCUGGCCAUGCCAACCCUCAGCAUUAGAUGUAAAUAGGUUGUACAUCCUCUGCAGGGAGCUAUCAGGGUAUAAGGUAUAAUUUAAGAUAGUGUCAAGGGCGAACUUGAGGAUAUGUUGCACUGUAUAUUCGAUGACAAGACAAGAGCAAAGUGGCUAAGGUCACUGUUAGCAAAUAAGAGAUUUGAAGGAUAUAGUAUGUUGGUUGUUGUAUCAAAUAAAUAAGGAUACCCAGGUAUUGUGGCUCAUUUGUCCAUUUAGUAGAAAUGAAAAUGAAAAAAGGCCAAUUUUAAUCAAGCUACUAUUUCAUGUUUUCCAUUUUUCCAGUUUGGAAUCUGAUUAACUUGAUUUUAUGUAUAAAGUUUUAUAUACACAUUGUAUCUUGUAUUAGUUUGGGGAAGGCAAAAGCCAAAUAUAAAGUCAAAUUGAAAUCAUUGUGUGACCUGGAGGUCCAGAUGAGUUAUCUAUAUGAAAAUCUGAAGUUUUGUAACAAAAGGUAACUUCAAAAUUGUCAUUACAUUAAUGCUUAUUGCUUAUGGAUUACACUUGCACGUGGACAAGAUGGUGUAAAUGCUCCAAAACACUUAAGAGUCACAGAAAUAAAACAAGAAUUUGAGUUUAUAAAAAGAGCCUGCAAAAUAAAUAAAAAUGAACAACAGUUUGCAGUCAUGAACCCCACAACCUAGCUGUGAGCUAGAUAAAUAUUAUAAUCCAUUUUUGAACUGUUGCACUUCCAGUUUGGUUUGCACUAUUUAUUUAAAGGUUUGCUUUUUGUUACUUAGUCAGAUUGUUUUGGUAAAUGUAUUUUCAAACAAAAAGCAAUUGUUAGUUAUCCAUCAGUUCAAUUCAAACCUUAUUUCUGGGCUUUGUUACUGUUUCAUAAUAAAAACUGUUUAUAAUU